rnacentral:lncRNA from 1 species
CAGAAAUCCGCAGGUAGUGGGCGACCCUAUGCCACCCCACUUCUUGUGUAAAGUUUUCACUUUGAACUAAAACAAGGGAGUUGAGCCCUGAGCUGCCUUGGGCUGGCCUUCUGGGCUAGGUGUGUCUUUGCAUUAAUCCCGCCCACUCGAAUGACCCUGCUGCCCUGGAGCUGGCAAGGAAGUGAAAGUCACUUUCAACCUUAUGUUACAGCCACCAGAAACAAACAGGGAAGAUGAAGCCAACAAGCAUCAUUCUUGGUUCUUAGAUCUAAAUCAACUCAUCUCCAAAAGAGAAAAAGAAGCAACAAAAAGACUGCUCAUGACCAAUCCAGAAACCGGAUAAAUAUCGGAAUACAUUUUGGAAGGUGGAAGAGUGAAGCUGAAAUGAACACCGUUCUCAUGGACUGGUAAUGUUAGGACAAUACUGGUGGACACUGAUUUUGAGGGAACCUGAGGCUGUACAAGUGGUGGUUGUGCAAACCCCAACACUGAAAGAGAAUGCAUUUUUUGUUAUGCUUUGUGAUUCAAUAAUUAUUUUGUUGGUAAUUGGCCAAAAUAUACUGAACAAAAUACAAACUCAACAUGUAAAGUGUUGGUCCCAUGUUUCAUGAGCAGAAAUAAAAUAUCCCAGAAAUGUUCCAUACGCACAAAAAGUUUCUCAAAUGUUUUGCACAAAUGUGUUUACAUCCCUGUUAGUGAGCAUUUAUUUUUUGUCAUGAUAAUCCAUCCACGUGACAGGUGUGGCAUAUCAAGAAGCUGAUUGUCACAGGUGCACCUUGUUCUGCGGACAAUAAAAGACCACUCUAAAAUGUACAGUUUUGUCACACAACAGUUUUGUCACACGUGCAAUUGGCAUGCUGACUGUCCACCAGAGCUGUUGCCAGAUACUUGAAUGUUAAUUUCUCUACCAUAAGCCACCUCCAAUGUCAUUUUAGAGCAUUUGGCAGUACGUCCAACCAGUCUCACAACUGCAGACCACAUGUAACCACGCCAGCCCAGGACCUCCGCAUCCGGCUUCUUCACCUGAGGGAUCGUAUGAGACCAGCCACCCAACAAGCUGAUGAAACUGAGGAGUAUUUCUGUCUGUAAUAAAGCCCUUUUGUGGGGAAAAACUGAUUCUGAUUGGCAGGGCCUGCCUCCAGGGGUGGGUGGGCAUAUGCCCUCCCAUGCCCACCCAUGGUUGUGCCCCUGCCCUGUCAUGUGUAAUCCAUAGAUUAGGGUUUAAUGAAUUUAUUUUAAAUGACUGAUUUCCUUAUAGGAACUGUAACUC